UUGUAGGGCAAUAUGUCUUUAGGUAGGGACAAGUUACUCUAAAAGAAAUGAAUCGUAGAUAGUUUUCCCAUCAAGCAUCCUAU
rnacentral:pre_miRNA from 1 species